UUAGCUUUCCAAUUGUUUAUGGCACUAUAUCCUUUUUGGCUUGGUAAAAGCAAGCGAGAGGCGACAAGUGAGGAUUUGAGUGUAAUCAUAAAGCGCUUUGUGUUUCAACUACAUCCUAGUUUUAAUAAUCCAACUAGAGCAGUUGAAUCAGCACCUUUUGAAGUGUCAGAGUCUGGUUGGGGAGAAUUUGAGAUUGCCAUUAGUCUCUUUUUUCACAAUGAUGUUUGUGACAAGCAAUUGGACCUCCUUAUGCCUGUUGUUGUUGAAACAUAUGAUGAAAUAGUUUUUUCAAAGCCUUCAGACGCCUUUUUUUUUCUGCGUCCAAAACCAUCCUGCUGCUGGUUUAAACCUGCCACCCACAGUACGUACCUUCUGAAGUUAUGAAUGAGAAGAAUAUAUGCGACACCAAGGAUCAUCCACUGAGUCAGUGGUUCAUGAAUUUCUCGGAAGCUGAUGAGCUACUAAAGCUUGCUGCGGCUCGUCAACAGGUCUGAGUUGGAUUUGAUUCUCAACUUGGGAAGAGUGAUAGAGCCCCUGGGACAAGUGAUAGAGGCUAAGAAGAAGAUAUCACUGAUGAUAAAGUUUUAAUGAUGAGAGAGUGAUUCAUAGAACUUGGGUGUUUCAUAACGAGUUUAGUUGACAAUUGACUUAUUUUAUUCAUGUUUUGGUUAGGUAAAUUAAGCAGAUGGGCUAUAAGAUCGUAGGAAACAUGUUUGCAAGUUUGCUUGAAUGAUUUGAGGCAAAAUUUUCAUUUCUAGAAAAUGUUAAGAGACCUUAGUCAACUAACUUUGUAAGUACUAAUUAAUGUUUCACAAGGU